rnacentral:lncRNA from 1 species
CUCUAAGAGGCUAUAGAGAAGGCACAUAAGCUGGGUUGACAGGAUGAGACAAGGCAUUCUGGAGAAGGUAAUUGUGGUGGGGGAGUAACAGGCAACCCACAGUGAUGGAGGGCAGCCAUAUUUCAGUCAUUGGGCAGGGAGUGUGCACAUUCUGGAAACAACACAUCAUUUUUGUAAAGUUGGGACCUAGAGUGAAAAUACGGGAGUGAUUGA